AUACGGAGGGUGCAAGCGUUGUUCGGAAUCACUGGGCGUAAAGGGCGCGCAGGCGGUUUGGUAAGUCAGAUGUGAAAGCCCACGGCUCAACCGUGGAAGUGCAUUUGAAACUGUCAGACUUGAGUACUAGAGGGGAAAGUGGAAUUCCCGGUGUAGAGGUGAAAUUCGUAGAUAUCGGGAGGAAUACCGGUGGCGAAGGAGACUUUCUGGCUAGAUACUGACGCUGAGGCGCGAAAGCGUGGGGAGCAAACAGGAUUAGAAACCCUAGUAGUCC
rnacentral:rRNA from 1 species